AACGAACGCUGGCGGCGUGCUUAAGACAUGCAAGUCGUGCGAGAAAGUCACCUUCGGGUGGCGAGUAGAGCGGCGCACGGGUGAGUAACGCGUGGGUAACCUGCCUUUAGGUUUGGGAUAACUCUGGGAAACCGGGGCUAAUACCGAAUAAGACCACGAAGUCUUCGGGCUUCGCGGGAAAAGAUGGCCUCUUCUUGAAAGCUAUCGCCAAUUGAUGAGCCCGCGUCUGAUUAGCUUGUUGGUGGGGUAACGGCCCACCAAGGCGACGAUCAGUAGCUGGUCUGAGAGGAUGAUCAGCCACACUGGAACUGAGACACGGUCCAGACUCCUACGGGAGGCAGCAGUCGGGAAUUUUGGGCAAUGGGCGAAAGCCUGACCCAGCAACGCCGCGUGAGGGAUGAAGGCCUUCGGGUCGUAAACCUCUGUCGGAAGGGAAGAAAGGUCACGGGUCGAAUAGGCCAGUGGCUUGACGGUACCUUCAAAGGAAGUACCGGCUAACUCCGUGCCAGCGCCGCGGUAA
rnacentral:rRNA from 1 species